rnacentral:rRNA from 1 species
UCCGAGCGUUAUCCGGAUUUAUUGGGUUUAAAGGGUGCGUAGGCGGCCUAUUAAGUCAGGGGUGAAAGACGGUAGCUUAACUAUCGCAGUGCCUUUGAUACUGAUAGGCUUGAAUGUACUUGAGGUAGGCGGAAUGUGACAAGUAGCGGUGAAAUGCAUAGAUAUGUCACAGAACACCAAUUGCGAAGGCAGCUUACUAAAGUAUGAUUGACGCUGAGGCACGAAAGCGUGGGGAUCAAACAGG